rnacentral:pre_miRNA from 1 species
AUACUACUCCCUCCGUCUCAAAAUUCUUGUCUUACAUUUGUCUAGAAAUAGAUGUAUCUAGAUACAUUUAUAUCUAGACAAAUCUAAGACAAGAAUUUUGGAACGGAGGGAGUAGUAA